UGUAUUAAUUAUAACUGUAGUCUGUCAUUGGUGUAAACUUAGGUGAAGAAAAAUAUUUUCUAAACCAUUUUUACAGGCUGAGUUCAUGUUUAGACACUAUACAACAAAUAUGUGUUUCUGUAGAGUUCAGAGUCAUUCAUUCUGUGUUUCUGGGCUUUAUUCAUUUUCGGUAUUAGUAUCAGUAAGUAUUACUUGCACAAAAUGCAAACACAAAUGUUUUAGGGUACAACAAAUGCUUCAUCUCUCAGCUCAACCUUUUAAUCCAGCAGUGAAAAACAAAGUCAGGCUCCAUAGUCUCCUCUCAGGAAAAUGCUCUCCCCUGUAGUGACCAUUUAGAUGUAUUAUGAGGCCUUUGUAAUGCAGAGUGUGUGACUCAAAAGGUCAGCUAACUGCAUAUUCAUUGAAAAGUCUGUAAAACAAAGGAAAGGAGUGAAAGAAUCUAAGAAUACCCAAUAAGGGUGGUUUUUAAUUAAUGAGUAAGAACAACAGAUAUGAAAGGUUCAAGUACGGGAAGGAUUGAAACACAAAACUCACAAAGUAUGAAUUUCAAACAAACUCUUCCUUAUUAAUCUACAUACAUUUUACCUUCCAGCUCAUGACACUCAGCCAGCGUCAUGCCUCCCCACCUUCUCUCCUUCCCUCCUUUACUGUCUGUCCCUCCAUCUCUGUAACUAAUCUGUAACUGUACUUGACUUAAGCCAGUGCAGCAGCUCCUCUCCACAAACUCAGCUCUGCUCUGUCAAAAUGCCAGACUCUAAUGAAGCUGUGCCAGCACCGUGCCAGGUCAUCAAGGAGGACGUCGACAAGUGUGUCAGAGAAAAAGGAGAGGAGGGCUGCAGAGAUCUGAUAGAUGCCUUCCAGGCCUGUGUAAAAACUCUGUCAGAGGGGUCAUAAUACACAAGAAAACACAUCCAAGUAAAAUCCUACUCUAUCAAAGUCCUCCAAUUUCUCAGCAUUCCCUCCCUCCUUUAUUGCUUCAGAUUGAACCAUGUGAAAGACUGAAGAGGGUUGAUGACACCAAGCUUCUGAUACUGUCUGAAUGUGUAACUUCUUUAUUCACUUUUUAGACUGUAAAAAGUUGUAUUUACAAAAAACAUCACAAAAUAAACAGAAGACAGUAA